CCUACGGGUGGCAGCAGUGGGGGAUCUUCCGCAAUGGGCGAAAGCCUGACGGAGCGACGCCGCGUGCUCGAAUGAGGGCCUUCGGGUUGUAAAGAUCUGUUGCCGGGGACAAAUACGCACUGCGAAUAGUUUUGUGUAUGACGGUCCCUGUUUAGGAAGCUCCGGCUAACUACGUGCCAGCAGCCGCGGUAAUACGUAGGGAGCAAGCGGUGUCCGGAAUUACUGGGCGUAAAGGGCGCGUAGGUGGGCGCGUAAGUCAGGUGUGAAAACUCCGGGCGCAACCUGGCGACUGCACUUGAAACUGGGUGUCUGGAGGGCAGGAGAGGAAAGUGGAAUUCCGGGUGUAGCGGUGAAAUGCGUAGAUAUAAGGAGGAACACCAGUGGCGAAGGCGGAUUGCUGGACAGUAACUGACGCUGAGGCGCGAAAGCGUGGGGAGCAAACAGGAUUAGAUACCCGAGUAGUC
rnacentral:rRNA from 1 species